GUUCAAAGCCAGGCUCUAAUAGAAUUCAACCUUCACAAGGUCAAGUUCCCAGUCUGUAUUUUUACGCCACUUCCCAGCACAGGCCCAGACACAAAGCAGAUGUGCAGUGGAGUGUGAAAGAGGCAGCCAACUCACUGGGGAGCUUCAGAGGGAGAUGGCCCAAAUUGCUGGGGCCUAAGAAUCUCCCGGAAUGAAGGAACAGUAGAAAGAACUGGAAGCCAAAUAUGGUGAUAGAGACUCUCAUCAAGGACACUGAGUAAACCAGAAACCUGCUUGGGCUCACGUUCCUUGUCUCUUCUUCUCAGAUCCAGGAAAGGAGCUGUCCAGGACAAUGAGGAUAGGCUGAGGAAAGACAGGCCACGGCCUUGCCUCUGUGCCAGCUCUCAUGGGCCAGGCAGAGUAUCCCAGGACAACUGCCUCCACAACCAGCUCCAUCCUUCAUCAGCAAUUCAGUACCUGAUUAACAAAUCUGUACCCCAGGAGGUUAUGCCAAGUCCAACUUCUUCCAGAGACCACAACAAUAAAUCCAAGCCACUGCUAAUGUCAUUUAUAAGCUGUGGGAUUAAAACAGAGAAGCAAUC
rnacentral:lncRNA from 1 species